ACCUGGGGUAGAGGUGCUGUAAUUAAUAGUACUCAUUUUGAGCAGCCAAGCUAUGAAAAAAGAGGAAAGGGAUUAUAGCCGAAGAAAGCAAUGUGGCAAGUUGUUUUCUGGCUUUAUAUAUAACAUAUGUAAAGUUGUCACUGUUUAUGGUGGAGAGCUACAGAGGUC
rfam:Clostridium tetanomorphum DSM 665 contig184, whole genome shotgun sequence.